rnacentral:rRNA from 1 species
AUAACAAUACAGGACUCUUUAGAGGCCCUGUAAUUGUAAUGAGUCCACUUGAAAUCCUUUAACUAUGAUCAACUGGAGGGCAUGUCUGGUGCAGAGCGACUGACCCGUGCGAGCUGCAG